rnacentral:lncRNA from 1 species
GUAACUCGACCACUGUUCAAGAAUAGUCGUUGGCUCGACGCCAGCGCCACCUAACGCGGGCUCACAUCCCAAACGGGUUUGGCACAGCUACCGCCGCAGCUUGACGCGUCGUCCACUUUUCCUUCGCCUGCAGCUGCUGGUUGUAAUAGAGCAUCGUUCUGCAAGUAGGCGUCGUACCCAGCAAAAUCCACCAUUAGGACGUACAUCACCCUAGCCUGGCCCGCCUUCUACGAGGAUGGCAGUCAAUGUACUGGAACAGCUGCUCGUUCACAUACAGCGAUUGACAGCGCAGGACCUUCAGUGCCUGGCCAAUAUUCCGAACACCGACUGGCUCACUCGGCUCAGAAACCUACAACCUGAAGUGGCCGCCCAGGAAAUACGCCGCAUUCUUGAAGCAUCUUCCAGUGUCUUUGUACGGCUCGAACGUGUCGCCUUGCUUUACUGCUGGCUCAUGAAGAAUCGGAAGAUUGGCCCGUGGCUGCUCUUGCGCUUCGGCCCUUCCGCUCUGCAGGCCGACUGUAAGGUGCUUCUGGAGAACGUGGAGAGAGCAUUCCUAUUUGUUGGCCGGCCCGCACCGCUCUAUAUGACGAAGGACGGUGCAACGUACUACAGCUGCAUGAUUCAUAACUACUCGGACCCUACCGCACGAAAAUGGGCAGUGGUGUUCGUGGUCCUUUGGAGCGGCCAGCGCUUCGCAGCCGCGUAUGUCGGAACGAACGACCAGCAGCGAACCCUCAUGACCUGCUUUCAUAUCGCGCUGCGCGGGGAAAGCGUCGAACUUCUACGAGGCAUCCACGCAAACUUGGACGCCGCGUUUCGUGCCGGUGUCCGGGACGUCGGAGCCACAGUAUCCCUUCGACUGGAUAGGGACCCAAGUAUCGCAGCGCGGUUUUUGGCCGAAUAGCUACCCGCAAGAGCCAGCAGAAAACAACAGUUUGGACAUGUACGACUUAGGCGAUGCCCCUUGACAAAGGGCUCCUUCGAGCUACGGAUCCGCUUAUAAGACAGACAUGGCACUCGAAAUCUAGGCCUCCCGUUCGAUUCACACGAGAUUGCGUGUGACAAAUGAAUAUCAUGAACAGGACCUGUCCAGCGCCUAGACAGCGUGUGAAAGAAGCCGUCAGAGAUCCCAUCUUUACAGCCUUGGUUGAAGAUUUCCCUCGUCAAGUCGAUAUGGAAAGAACAAGCCGAGAAGCAGGCACCAGCUUUCACAUUACUGGAUGACUGGAAACGGUCUUUGUGAAAGGUUUCGGUAUUCGGUUAUCCAUGACAGGACUUCUAGCGAGACCGGCGUAGCGUAAAACGUUUUGGAGACUUCGAGGUGCUGCCUGAGUCAGGUAUAUUCAAAGAAUAGCGGCGCUGAUCUGUCCCCCCCCCCCUCAGUUGACGAGCAAGACGUGCUUGAAGAACGUUCCCACGUGCCCUUCUGACAGAUAUGAGUGGAUGUGUAGCUUGAAGCAUGUUCUUAAACCCGCGCAUUUAGGACAUGGUCCCACGCAUAGGGGACUGAAAUUUUAAAACCCCUGGGACACGACCGCAUGGGCAGACCUUUGUAUCAAGAAUGCUCCUGCCUUCUUUUAUGUAUUGAC